rnacentral:rRNA from 1 species
UACGUAGGUGGCAAGCGUUGUCCGGAUUUACUGGGCGUAAAGAGCGCGCAGGCGGCCGAGUAAGUCGGAUGUGAAAGCCCCCGGCUCAACUGGGGAAGGUCAUUCGAUACUGUUCGGCUUGAAGAUAGGAGAGGGAAGCGGAAUUUCAGGUGUAGUGGUGAAAUGCGUAGAUAUCUGAAGGAACACCAGUGGCGAAGGCGGCUUUCUGGCCUAUUAUUGACGCUGAGGCGCGAAAGCUAGGGGAGCGAACGGG